AGAGUUUGAUCCUGGCUCAGGAUGAACGCUGGCGGCGUGCCUAACACAUGCAAGUCGAGCGAAGCGGUCUGGAGGAAGUUUUCGGAUGGAAUCCGGAUUGACUGAGCGGCGGACGGGUGAGUAACGCGUGGGUAACCUGCCUCAUACAGGGGGAUAACAGUUGGAAACGGCUGCUAAUACCGCAUAAGCGCACAGUACCGCAUGGUACGGUGUGAAAAACUCCGGUGGUAUGAGAUGGACCCGCGUCUGAUUAGGUAGUUGGUGGGGUAACGGCCUACCAAGCCGACGAUCAGUAGCCGACCUGAGAGGGUGACCGGCCACAUUGGGACUGAGACACGGCCCAAACUCCUACGGGAGGCAGCAGUGGGGAAUAUUGCACAAUGGGGGAAACCCUGAUGCAGCGACGCCGCGUGAAGGAAGAAGUAUCUCGGUAUGUAAACUUCUAUCAGCAGGGAAGAAAAUGACGGUACCUGACUAAGAAGCCCCGGCUAACUACGUGCCAGCAGCCGCGGUAAUACGUAGGGGGCAAGCGUUAUCCGGAUUUACUGGGUGUAAAGGGAGCGUAGACGGAUGGACAAGUCUGAUGUGAAAGGCUGGGGCUCAACCCCGGGACUGCAUUGGAAACUGCCCGUCUUGAGUGCCGGAGAGGUAAGCGGAAUUCCUAGUGUAGCGGUGAAAUGCGUAGAUAUUAGGAGGAACACCAGUGGCGAAGGCGGCUUUCUGGACGAUGACUGACGUUGAGGCUCGAAAGCGUGGGGAGCAAACAGGAUUAGAUACCCUGGUAGUCCACGCC
rnacentral:rRNA from 1 species